GCGUUGUCCGGAAUUAUUGGGCGUAAAGGGCUCGUAGGCGGUCUGUUGCGUCGGGAGUGAAAACUCAGGGCUUAACCCUGAGCCUGCUUCCGAUACGGGCAGACUAGAGGUAUGCAGGGGAGAACGGAAUUCCUGGUGUAGCGGUGAAAUGCGCAGAUAUCAGGAGGAACACCGGUGGCGAAGGCGGUUCUCUGGGCAUUACCUGACGCUGAGGAGCGAAAGUGUG
rnacentral:rRNA from 1 species